rnacentral:rRNA from 1 species
UACGUAGGGUGCGAGCGUUGUCCGGAAUUACUGGGCGUAAAGAGCUUGUAGGUGGUUUGUCGCGUUGUUCGUGAAAUCUCACGGCUUAACUGUGAGCGUGCGGGCGAUACGGGCAGACUAGAGUACUGCAGGGGAGACUGGAAUUCCUGGUGUAGCGGUGGAAUGCGCAGAUAUCAGGAGGAACACCGAUGGCGAAGGCAGCUCACUGGGACGGUACUGACGCUGAGGCGCGAAAGCUAGGGGAGCAAACAGG